GCAUGGCUCAGUGGUAGAGCAUCUAUUUGGUGUUCAGAAGGUUCAAAGUUAAAUCCCAGGCAUCUCCA
rnacentral:tRNA from 1 species